ACACAGACAUUGAUUUUCAUAGAUUUGGUAUUUGCGAAUCGUGCCAUUUUGUAAGCUACCCAAAGUGAAGCUCUUUAAAGGGAAUAAUUGCAAGAAAAAAACAUUGUGUAUGUGUCCAGUAAAGAUGCAACUCUUCAAAUAUUAUUGAUCCACUGUUGGUAGAAUAUAUGGAUGCAAAACUCAUUAGAUAUAAAGACCAUGUCAUUUUCAAAACAAUCUAGUAAGGAAGCAAUUUACGUGCAGUUCUACCUGGCCUGAGUGGACAGAAUAUAUUGCAUUCCUCAGCAAACUACCUGUUAUCUACAGAGAAAUGCAAAUAAUGUCGAUUGAAGGAAUCCUGAUUACCCUGAAGGGGGACACUUUUGAAACCUUUUCUACGCACCUGAUCCUGAAACCCAGGGAGAUAAGGCUAAUUCCUCCUGACAAUAAAAUCUAUAAGAAUUUAUGAUUAAGAAUCCAAUUAAAAUUAAUCAGCAUGGGCCAAUGAGACCUAGAAAUGUCAUGGAGAGGGGACUUAAAAGUCUGAGGUCAUCUUGCUGUCAGCCAAAAGUUGAAAGGUAGAAGUGAGUGAGACUCUCUGGAAACUUCUUUGGGAUCCCCAAUAAAACUACAGUGCAGGAAAGGCAUAUUGUCCCUCUCCUUUCUGAGAGGACCCACUCUCUCCCUUGAAAAUAUCCCCUGCCUCAUUUGCCAUCCCUUCAAUAAACUCA